AUUGAACGCUGGCGGCAUGCCUUACACAUGCAAGUCGAACGGCAGCAUGGAGAGCUUGCUCUCUGAUGGCGAGUGGCGAACGGGUGAGUAAUGCAUCGGAACGUACCGUGUAAUGGGGGAUAACGUAGCGAAAGUUACGCUAAUACCGCAUACGACCUGAGGGUGAAAGCAGGGGAUCGCAAGACCUUGCGUUAUACGAGCGGCCGAUGUCAGAUUAGCUAGUUGGUGAGGUAAAGGCUCACCAAGGCGACGAUCUGUAGCGUGUCUGAGAGGAUGAUCCGCCACGCUGGGACUGAGACACGGCCCAGACUCCUACGGGAGGCAGCAGUGGGGAAUUUUGGACAAUGGGGGCAACCCUGAUCCAGCCAUGCCGCGUGAGUGAAGAAGGCCUUCGGGUUGUAAAGCUCUUUCGGCCGGGAAGAAAUCGCACAGGCUAAUACUCUGUGUGGAUGACGGUACCGGCAUAAGAAGCACCGGCUAACUACGUGCCAGCCGCCGCAGUAA
rnacentral:rRNA from 1 species